UUAAAUUGAAGAGUUUGAUCAUGGCUCAGAUUGAACGCUGGCGGCAGGCCUAACACAUGCAAGUCGAACGGUAACAGGA
rnacentral:rRNA from 35 species